rnacentral:rRNA from 1 species
GAAUCUUGCGCAAUGGACGAAAGUCUGACGCAGCCACGCCGCGUGAGUGAAGAAGGCCUUCGGGUUGUAAAGCUCUGUCGGGCGGGACGAACAUCCCAGGUGUUAACAGCAUCUGGGACUGACGGUACCGCCAAAGGAAGCACCGGCUAACUUCGUGCCAGCAGCCGCGGUAAUACGUAGGGGGCGAGCGUUGUCCGGAAUUAUUGGGCGUAAAGAGCGUGUAGGCUGUUCGGUAAGUCUGCCGUGAAAACCUGAGGCUCAACCUCGGGCGUGCGGUGGAUACUGCCGGGCUAGAGGACGGUAGAGGCGAGUGGAAUUCCCGGUGUAGCGGUGAAAUGCGCAGAUAUCGGGAGGAACACCAGUAGCGAAGGCGGCUCGCUGGGCCGUUCCUGACGCUGAGACGCGAAAGCUAGGGGAGCGAAC